rnacentral:rRNA from 1 species
UACGGAGGGUGCAAGCGUUAUCCGGAUUCACUGGGUUUAAAGGGUGCGUAGGAGGGCAGGUAAGUCAGUGGUGAAAUCUCCAAGCUUAACUUGGAACUGCCGUUGAUACUAUCUGUCUUGAAUAUUGUGGAGGUGAGCGGAAUAUGUCAUGUAGCGGUGAAAUGACUUAGAUAUGACAUAGAACACCAAUUGCGAAGGCAGCUCACUACACAAUCAUUGACUCUGAGGCACGAAAGCGUGGGGAUCAAACAGG